UUCAUAUAGUUCCCAGAAAACCUGCCAAGAUGAGGAAGCUGAAGGAAGUAAGUGUUCCCUGCUAACCCACGGUGAUGCGACAAGGGGGAAGAUUUAACAAAAGUGGAAGUGCGGAUCUCGGGAGGCAGCGCUGCGUGGGGAUGUGCGGAUGGCGCGGAGCUCGAAGUCAGACGCCUCUGCGUGGGCUCGUCACACUUGUCAACCCUUUCACAGCCAAAGACUAGGCCGGGCGUGGUGGCACACAUUUGACAUCCCAGCACUUGGGAGGCUGAGGCAGAUUAAACCUGUGGUGCAUUGUGAUAUCAAUGUGGUGUCCAGGUGGCAGACGUGUCAUCGGAUUUCCCGUCACAUAAAUGUUUUUACAAAUGGAAAAUUGUUUAGCCCACCUAUAAAAAUUAUCAUACCCAAAUUCAGCCUGUCAGAUUGGAGUAGCGUGCUGGCCAUGAUCGGAGAAAAAGUCUUCCCUCUUGGAGGCGUGCGGAAGUUGUUUACCAUGAGUGGACAUCUUUUGGACGACUCCAAGGACUUGCAGGACAAUCAUUUUUAUGUUGCCGUAGGGCUGGAGACGUUCAAACACUUUCCGUAUUGGAGGUCACCCGGAGUCCCCAGUGAGGUCCGACAAAGGUACAUAGACUUGGAAAAGUGUCCACAGAAAAAGAAAAAAGCGGAGUCCAAAGAGUCUCCCAAGCAUGACAAUAUUCCACCCGAAACAAAGGAUUCGGUUUACCAUGCUAAAGAAGGAAGGAAGAAAACACCGGUAGAACCUUUCACCCCAAGUGGUGCAGAAGGUGACGUGUACAAAGCCCGGACUCCUGCUAAGGACGCACAAGGGGCACUGGAGGUCAAGGAGGAUCUGGAUGUGAAGGUGGAAGUGCCGGUGGACCAGGCACCAGCUGAAGUGGUUAAAGAGGUUGACGAUGCAUGUGACAGCAGCCCUAAGUUUGGGGGCAUCAAGGAAAAAGAAGAAGAAAGGUGUUAUGAAGAUAUUGAAAGAAAGGGAGACAAUUCAGGAGUGCCUUUUAAGAAAAUGUUUCCCUUAAGACACAACACAAAGAAAAAAGAAAAAGAACAAUAUGACAUUCUAGAGGAAAAAAAUACACCUGUGCAACAAGAAACUCCAGUAGAAAUAGAAGCCCAAAGACAAGCACCAGUGGAGAAGCCAACACAAGAACAGUCAAGGGAAGACGAACAAAUAUCUGAGACACCACAAUCUCCUGAACCAUUGUCCUCUGAAAAUAUAUCUCAGGAACAAAGACCCAGAACACCACAAUCUCCUGAACCAUUGUCCUCUGAAAAUACAUCUCAGGAACAAAGACCCAGAACACCACAAUCUCCUGAACCACUGUCCUCUGAAAAUCCAUCUCAAGAGCAAAGACCCAGAACAACAACACAAUCUCCUGCAUCAUUGUCCUCUGAAAAUACAUCUCAAGAACAAAAUCCCGGAACACCAAAGCCUCUCGGACAAUUAUCCUCUGAAGCACUUUUCCAGGAACAAAGUCCUGAGCAGCAGGAGUCUACUGAGCCAUUAUCCUUGGGACAGUGAACUUAGACACAGAUGACUCCGGGACAAUUAAACAAACAAAACGUGAAAACAAAGCAUCAGCUGUGUGUUGUGAGGGGCAACCUUCCGAAGCUGCAAAGGAUCACAGACAAAUGAAAAUAAAAUGAUAUACUUUUUGUUUCACUUUAAGCCAAAGAGAUGCCCUGGGAGUAGAAACCAACACAUCGGCCCAAGCACCUUUCUAUGUACAGGACACCAGUUCUUCUUCACCCACCUGGCCGCAUCUCGCACGGGGACAUUGCAACAGCAGGAGAACCGUGUUGGAGGUGAAACUAAUGCCCUGUAAUGUGCUGUGUCAAAAGCUGAGAAGAAACGUUUACCUGUUUAGUCCAUUGCUCUGAUUCCUUUGCCUGGUGAUAUUCUUUUUAGUAAACAUUUAAAAGAAUGAAAUGUGGUUCUUUAUCUGUAAGCCCUGCAGCGAUCAUUCAGAAAAGUAGAGAAAUUUGAAAUC